rnacentral:rRNA from 1 species
UACGUAGGGUGCGAGCGUUAAUCGGAAUUACUGGGCGUAAAGCGUGCGCAGGCGGUUUUGUAAGUCUGUCGUGAAAUCCCCGGGCUCAACCUGGGAACUGCAUUUGUGACUGCAUCGCUGGAGUGCGGCAGAGGGGGAUGGAAUUCCGCGUGUAGCAGUGAAAUGCGUAGAUAUGCGGAGGAACACCGAUGGCGAAGGCAAUCCCCUGGGCCUGCACUGACGCUCAUGCACGAAAGCGUGGGGAGCAAACAGG